CAAUCUUUCUCAUCUCCAUUUCCAUUAUCAUCAAUCUUUUUCAUUUCCAAUUUCCAUUAAUCUUUCUCACGAUUCUUCAAGAAUUAAUAAUGGCUGGACAAAUUCCAUUCAGUAUCUUAGAACAAGUAUUAACAAAGCUGGGGUCGCUUGCUUUCCAAGAAAUUGGAUUGGUCUGUUGUGCCAGAGAUGAUCUAAAGAAGCUUGGAAAUUCUCUCUCCACUGUGAAAGCUGUACUUGUAGAUGCUGAGGAGAAGCAAGAGCAGAGCGAUGCUGUGCGAAUUUGGAUAGGGAGGCUUCAAGAUAUUGUGUAUG
rnacentral:misc_RNA from 1 species